rnacentral:rRNA from 1 species
UACGGAGGGGACUAGCGUUGUUCGGAAUUACUGGGCGUAAAGCGCACGUAGGCGGAUUUGUAAGUCAGGGGUGAAAUCCCGGGGCUCAACCUCGGAACUGCCUUUGAUACUGGCAGUCUCGAGUGCGGGAGAGGUGAGUGGAAUUCCCAGUGUAGAGGUGAAAUUCGUAGAUAUUAGGAAGAACACCAGUGGCGAAGGCGGCUCACUGGCCCGGAACUGACGCUGAGGUACGAAAGCGUGGGGAGCAAACAGG